rnacentral:rRNA from 1 species
UUUAAUUGAAGAGUUUGAUCAUGGCUCAGAUUGAACGCUGGCGGCAGGCUUAACACAUGCAAGUCGAGCGGAAACGAGGAGUACUUGUACUUCGGCGUCGAGCGGCGGACGGGUGAGUAAUGCUUGGGAAUAUGCCUUGAGGUGGGGGACAACAGUUGGAAACGACUGCUAAUA